rnacentral:rRNA from 1 species
AUUGAACGCUGGCGGCAGGCCUAACACAUGCACGUCGAACGAGUGGCGGACGGGUGAGUAAUGUCUGGGAAACUGCCCGAUGGAGGGGGAUAACUACUGGAAACGGUAGCUAAUACCCCAUACCAUAGGAUGUGCCCAGAGGGGAUUAGCUAGUCGGUGGGGUAACGUCUCACCUAGGCGACGAUCCCUAGCUGGUCUGAGAGGCUGACCAGCCACACUGGAACUGAGACACGGUCCAGACUCCUACGUGAGGCAGUAGGGGGGAAUAUUGCACAAUGGGCGCAAGCCUGAUGCAGCCAUGCCGCGUGUAUGAAGAAGGCCUUCGGGUUGUAAAGUACUUUCAGCGAGGAGGCGUUACUCGCAGAAGAAGCACCGGCUAACUCCGUGCCAGCAGCCGCGGUAAUUC